rnacentral:rRNA from 1 species
GGGGAAUCUUGCGCAAUGGCCGAAAGGCUGACGCAGCGACGCCGCGUGUGGGAUGAAGCAUUUCGGUGUGUAAACCACUGUUGCCCGGGACGAACAGCCUGUUUCGACAGGUCUGACGGUACCGGGGGAGGAAGCACCGGCUAACUCCGUGCCAGCAGCCGCGGUAAUACGGAGGGUGCGAGCGUUGUCCGGAAUCAUUGGGCGUAAAGGGCGCGUAGGUGGCCUGGUCAGCGUGCGGUGAAAGCUCGGGGCUCAACCCCGAGUCGGCCGUGCGAACUGCUGGGCUUGAGCACUGUAGAGGCAGGCGGAAUUCCGGGUGUAGCGGUGGAAUGCGUAGAGAUCCGGAAGAACACCGGUGGCGAAGGCGGCCUGCUGGGCAGUUUGGCUGACACGGAGGCGCGACAGCGUGGGGAGCAAAC